AGCGGUUUAAAACAGGUGAAUGUUAUAAAGUGAAAAGUUAUUACGCCACGGCACACAUACAUGAAGAUUUGCCGUUAUUCCACGUACGCUUGGGUUAAAUUGGCACGUCGUCGCGACAGAAAAGAAUUAUGUGAUAAAGAGUAUUUGUCCACCAUUACAAGAUUUUGAAAUUCGACUCAGCGAUUCAUUACCAAAGUAAUCCAAUUGAUACAAAAAUGAAUAGAGUUCUGGGAAACAACAGGCAACACAGAAUCCCAGUGCAAGAGCAACAGCAUAUACUUAUACACUUAUCUAACAUCCAAAGAAAACCUAUCAUGCAAGAAACAAGUUUACCGGGAAGAGUUG
rnacentral:lncRNA from 1 species